AUUGAACGCUGGCGGCAGGCUUAACACAUGCAAGUCGAGCGGGGGAAGGUAGCUUGCUACCGGACCUAGCGGCGGACGGGUGAGUAAUGCUUAGGAAUCUGCCUAUUAGUGGGGGACAACAUCUCGAAAGGGAUGCUAAUACCGCAUACGUCCUACGAGAGAAAGCAGGGGAUCUUCGGACCUUGCUCUAAUAGAUGAGCCUAAGUCGGAUUAGCUAGUUGGUGGGGUAAAGGCCUACCAAGGCGACGAUCUGUAGCGGGUCUGAGAGGAUGAUCCGCCACACUGGGACUGAGACACGGCCCAGACUCCUACGGGAGGCAGCAGUGGGGAAUAUUGGACAAUGGGGGGAACCCUGAUCCAGCCAUGCCGCGUGUGUGAAGAAGGCCUUAUGGUUGUAAAGCACUUUAAGCGAGGAGGAGGCUACUUUAGUUAAUACCUAGAGAUAGUGGACGUUACUCGCAGAAUAAGCACCGGCUAACUCUGUGCCAGCAGCCGCAGUAA
rnacentral:rRNA from 1 species